rnacentral:rRNA from 1 species
UACGGAGGGUGCGAGCGUUGUCCGGAAUCACUGGGCGUAAAGGGCGCGUAGGCGGCUCAUGAAGGCUGUGGUGAAAGUCCGGGGCUCAACCUCGGAUCGGCCGUGGCGACUCGUGGGCUGGAGCACUGUAGAGGCGGGUGGAAUUCCGGGUGUAGCGGUGGAAUGCGUAGAAAUCCGGAAGAAGACCGGUGGCGAAGGCGGCCUGCUGGGCAGUUACUGACACUGAGGCGCGACAGCGUGGGGAGCAAACAGG